UGUGGCUAAUGGUGUGGCUAAUGGUGUUACUGAUGCUCACGGCGUACUUGCUACAAAUACUUCGACUGUUAGGAAUAAUACGAUUGGUACGAAAAGUAUCCGAAACUGUGAUUAUAGUAACUUAACAGAUCGCGAUAAUAAUAUAACCGUUGAUGGUAACUAUCUCAAAAAUGAUGUCUUGUGUAGUCCCAACGAUUUUAACAAAAACACUAUUUCGAUAUAUCACGAAAUUAACAAACUUGAACUAAGAUUUUUAGCUCAUUUGAUUGCGCUUAAUAACAAUGAUAUUGAUAUAUUUUCUUUUAUUUAUCCACAUUAUUUUUAUUAUCUUAUGUGUACUCCAUAUAAUAUAGACGACGUAUUCAUGCUUUUUAACAAUUUAAUAGUAAAUGAUAAAGGGUAUGAAUAUGUAACAGGAUUAGAAACAUUCACUUUUAUUUUAUUUAUAUUUCUUUAUGAUUCUAUACAAAGAAAUAAAGAUUCAAUGAAUGUUAGUGAAUACUUUUACGUCUUUGUUGAAAAUAGCUUAUUACAUGAAAACAAAUUGAUUAUAAAGAUUUUAAUGGAAAUGAUAUUAUUAUUGACAGAUUUUCCUAAACACGUAGAAGAAAUGAAAAAAAAAUUUUCUUUAGUUUAUAAUAAAAAAAAUCUUGAACUAUUAAAAAAAAAAAAAUUUUUAAAAAAUCGAAUGUUAAAAAAUAUACUUUUAAAUACAUUGCAUAUGUUACUCGUUUGAUUUUUGAAUCAUUAUAUAAUGUUAUGGAUUGUAAAAAGUUGACAAAUGAAAAUGUUCUUAAAUAUAAAAAUUUAUAUGAAUAUAUAAUGCAAAAUAUAGUAUCCAAUAUUUCUUUUAUUAAUUAUUUUGGAUAUUUUGAUAAAUUUACUUUAAGAAAAGCAUUUUUAAAUCCUCUUUGUGUUUUAACUAUGGAUAUGUUCAUUUAUUUUAUAAAAAACGAUACGAUAGAAAUUUUUAAAUUAAUUUUAUUUAUUUCAAGCAUGUUCAAUGUUUAUUAUGAACAGUUAGAUUAUCUUAAUGUUGAAGAUAAAAAAGUAAUUGCUUCUGCAAUGUUAUCAUAUUUAAGAACAGUAAUAAAUAUGCGACAUGAACAUUUGGUUAAAAAGGAAAAAAUACUUUAUCAUCGAUUUAUUCCUAAUAGAUACAUCCUUAGUAUUUUGGCAAACUUUUCGAUCGAAAAGGCCGUUGCUGAGCAUAUAAAGAGUCUUCAAGGCCUAGAAUUACUGAGACAUUUUAUGUAUAUUGACGUUAAUGACCCAUGUUUACCUGAAUAUGCUACUUUGGUAAUUCCCCCCCCCUACUUAACAGAUGAAUACGUUUUUAAAUGUAUGUACUUGUCCCAUCUUUAAACUAUGUAAAAUAAACAUGCUAACAUUUUUUUUUUUUUUUUUUUU
rnacentral:lncRNA from 1 species